AUUCAGAAGCAACUUAGUAAAGAAACUAGCAUCAGGAAACCAAAGUAAAUCCCAAGAGAAAAUGUGGCAGCUAUAGGGAGAAGUUAAAUCCCGACCUAAGGCACAGAAGAUGAGCCUUGGGAUAAAGAAAGGAUUGGCCUGAAACCCAUGCAAAAGUUUGCCUUAAAACAGUGGCUUUCAGUGCUGAAGGCUCAUUAAUAUUACCUGGAGAGCUUUUAGAAAACAACGUUGCUUCCAAGGCCCACUGGAGACCAAUUAAACCCCAAAUUACUUAGGGCAGGGCCCAGACAGAAGUCUAUUUAAAACUCCCCAGUUGAUUUUAAAGUGCAUCCGGGAUUGAGACAUAUUGCUUUGAAGAUACCGACCUUGAAAACUUCCAGGAAAGGCCAAGGAGAUAAACCACUUCUUCCAAAGCUGCAAGAUGGUUGCUGUGGCUCAUGAUGGCAAAAUUUCAUCUACGGACAAAGACAUAUUGAAAGAAAAAAUGGAUGCAUCAUAUGUCUAAAGCCCCGGAUUUUGACCCAUUGAAUAUGCUCUUGUAACCUCCCAGAAGCUUCCCCUCAUCCUAUCUCUUAUUGUAUUUGAUGAUUAAGGUCACAGGUUUUAUAAGCAAAUACAUGUUAAAAUACCAGGUCAGUCACUUAGUCUCUGUAAGCCUAUUCUCUGAAUCUACUGCCCCCCUCCCAAAAAAAGGUGAUUAUAGACUCUAUUCUGCUAACUUCUAACAGCAUAAAUUAGUUUUAACCAUUUUUGUACUUUUUAUCAAUGGAAAUAUAUUGUAUGUAAUCUUGUAUCUGUCUACAUUUGUCAACAUGUUUGUGAAAUACACUUAGAUUUUGUGUACUGUAAUAGUUAUCGUUGCUGAACAGUAUUCCAUUAUGUGACUACCACAGUGUUUCUUCAUUCCGCUCUUGGGAAGUUUUUAGUUUUUGUUAUUACAA